AACCUGGUUGAUGCCUGCCAGUAGUCAUAUGCUUGUCUCAAAGACUAAGCCAUGCAUGUCUAAGUUUAAGCGAUUUAAACUGUGAGACUGCGGACGGCUCAUUAUAUCAGUUAUAGUUUAUUUGAUGGUCGAUUACUACAAGGAUAACCGUAGGAAUUCUAGAGCUAAUACUUGCACUUCAAGGUGAUUUUUCAUCUGCACUUAUUAGAUUUACCACCAAUGCUCUUCGGAGCCUCGGUGAUUCAUAGUAAUUUAGCGGAUCCGUUAGCUUCGGCCGCGACGCUUCAUUCAAAUUUCUGCCCUAUCAGCUUUCGAUGGUAGUGUAUUGGACUACCAUGGCUUUGACGGGUAACGGAGAAUUAGGGUUCGAUUCCGGAGAGGGAGCCUGAGAAACGGCUACCACAUCUAAGGAAGGCAGCAGGCGCGCAAAUUACCCAAUCCCAACUCGGGGAGGUAGUGACAAGAAAUAACAACAACUAACCUAUUUCAGGUGAGUUGAUUGGAAUGAGUACAAUCUAAACACCUUAACGACUAUCCAUUGGAGGGCAAGCCUGGUGCCAGCAGCCGCGGUAAUUCCAGCUCCAAUAGC
rnacentral:rRNA from 1 species